GUCAAAAUUCCAGAUUCCUAGGCCUCAGCCCAGGUCUUUUGGAUCAGAAAUCAGUGGGAAGUGGGGAGGUAGGGCUGGGAAUCUUAAUUUAUAUUAAGCUUACCAGGUGAUUUUGGUAUAGUUUAGUUUCAGUUUCCAGCUAGGAACCAUUUAUUUAGGGCAGUGUUCUAGAUGCUGGGAAUAUCGAGGUUUAAGGACUAGAUAGGAAAAGUAAGGAUUUGACAAACCAGGGUUAAGAUACCAGUGUACAUAGUAUGUUACUUGGUAUUCAUUAAAAAACUUUCUCCUACCCUUAUCAAGGGUAAGGCACUGCAUCAAAUGCUGGAUAUGUUGCCCAUCAAGCAAACGGACAGCAUACAGUCUGUAAGUGCUCCCGUAAGAGUAAGUACAAGGUGCUUUGAGGGCUGGUUGGAAAGGUACUUAAUCCAGUCAUGUGGGAUUGGGAAGGCUUGAUGAGUCUUGAGGGAAGAGUAGGAACUGGCCAAGUACAGAACACUGACAUGAACAAAUAAAUCAGGAGUUAAAAGAGUGAGGAACAGGCUGUGUGCCUGAGAAUUUUAUAUAGUACAUUAUGAUUGGAGGAAGGAGUUCAAGAAUGGGCAUGCAGAAGAUAAGACUGGAGAGGUAAACCAGCUCAAUGAUAAGGUCCUUGCAUUUCAUUUUUCCCCUGUCUCCAUGUAGGGAGUCAUUAAAAGAUUUUAAGCUGAGGAGUGACCUGAGUGGCAUCAACUGAAAGAUGAUUAUCGCUGCCUUGUAGAGAGGCUGGAUUGGAGACAGAAUGGUAUGCCAGGAAUGGCUUCCAGAACACUGGUGGAGGAUCUUGCCUCAGAAGAGGAGAAUGCUUCUUGCAUGUAAUUGGAGAUCAAGCUGCCCUUUAAAGAAGCUGAGGACAUGAGAUGGGGACAUGCUGCACAAGGUGGUGCUCUUUUCGCUGGAUCUGACCCGUCGUCCCUGAUCCUGAAGAUGUGGAAGUUGUGGAGAAUAGGAGGGGGCAAACCGCACCUAGGGUGAUUUCUCAUUUUCUUCAAUGUCUUCUGGGCCUCCCGUUCCUUCUGCUGAUCAUACAGAGUGCACCAGUGCGGGUAGAUCUCAGGCUUCUUGGAGUGGCGAUCUUUGAGCAAUGAGGAAGAGGGGCUUCAGCCAGCGGCUCCCAGUUUGGUGACUGAGAAGAUCAUAAUAAGAGUUCUCAGGGGAUUGUGAUUUCAGAAAAUGUGGCAUUGACUCACUCUGAUUAGUAAAAACCAAGCAAAUAAGAAAUGGGAUGUCCAGUUAAAUUCGGAUUUCAGGUAAUGAAGGCAAUAUUUAGGACAUAUUCAUAUUUUAAAAAUUCUUCAUUGUUCAUCAGAAAUGCUAAUUGGGCAUCCCACUUUAUCUGGCAACUCCAGCUAGGAGGAUCCCUGUGUUAAUUAAUACAAACAACUCAUUAAGCACUGCCUGCAUAGCCCAGGCCUUAUAGAGAUAUUCUCUCAUAGCAACCCGACAAAGGGAGUUGGGCAGGGGUUGGCCUGUGGCAGAGGAAGCUCCUGAGCCUGAGGGAGGGAAAGUGACUUGUCCAAGGUCACACAGAGUUAGUGGCAGCCCUAGGGGUGAGUUUUGGGGUUCUGUGAGCUGGCCUUAAUGGGAAGGGACAGUCUGCUGCCCCUCCUCCUUUAGCCAGGCUCGCAGGGUGGCAAAAGUUAGGGGUCUUACCUGGUAGCAGGACAAGGGCAGGUGAACAGGAGCCAUGGCUUUUCUGAAUUCUGUGGUACAAAUGAGACAGUGAUUACCGAGGAGGGUUGAAGAAUUAUCCAUCCAGGCAUUCAUCGUUCAGCGUUUAGUGAACACUACACCAGGGAGGUAAAUAAGGCAUAGUUCCUGUCCUUAAAGGGCUCAUGGUUCUCUGGUACCUUGCUGCUCAGAAUGUGGCCAGUGGAGCAGCAGAACUGCCAUCGCCUGGGAGCUUCUCAGAAAUGCAGAAUCUCAGGCUCCACCCCUGACCUCCUGAAUCAGGAUCUUCAUUUGAGCAAGAUUCCUAUACGUGUUGAAAUCUGAGAAGCGCUGGUUUAGCACCGCGGUGGUUCUCAGCCCUGGCUGCAUACUAGAAUUAUUUGGGGGAAUUUUUAACGUGCCUCAGCCCCACCUCAGAUGGGUUGAAUCAGAUUCUCUGAGGAAGGGGCCUAGGCAUUUUCGAAAGCUCCCCGGGGGAUUCUAAUGUGCAGCUAAUGUGAAAACCACUGGUCUCAUUCGGUGGUUCUCAAAUUUGAGCGUGCAUUAGAAACAAUUGGAGAGCGUGUUAAAACACAGAGUUCUUUAUGCCCAGCUGCAGACUCAUCAGCCCUAGAGUACUGAUUCAGUAAAUCUGGGGUGGGGUCUGAGAAUUUGCAUUUCUUCUGGAAACAGACUUUGGGAAGCACUGGUCCAGCUGGUGAGACAGCACUGUUUAUUAGUGAUUAACAAGAGGAAACAAAGGUGAAGAUGGAUAAAGGCAUAGGUGGUACAGAUGAGGGGCCCCUAACCUGGUUGGGAGGAGCAGGGAAGAUUUCAGAGAUGAUACAUAAGCUGAGUCUUCAGUCCAGGUGGCCGUUAGCCAGAUAUAUGAGGGGAAAGAGCCUUAGGCAUUGGGAACAACUUAAAAUCUUGGAGGUGUGAGAGUUGGGUAGAGAGGAGGGUGCAGAUGAGGGAGCAGAAGCUGGUGAGACACAAAGACGUCCCUCUUAGAGGGCCCUGGAAACUUUCCUCGAGGGCUGUGGCGAGCCCUCAAAGUAUCCAGCAGUCCGCCCUGACCCCUCCCACGGAUUUGCUGAAAUCAGCUGGACCCUGCCAGGGAGUGGGUGCCAGGGACCUUUUCUUCUCAGGCCCCUGUCCCUGACUCCACUCCUGUCCUCUCCAGCCUCACCUUUGGUCCUUUCUGGAUAUUCCAGCCACGGGCACUUGAACAUUGACCUGUUGAUGUCAAAGAUCUCGGCUAAUUUUCUGUAGGCCAUUCUCUUCUCCUGGUGGGGCCAGAGGAAACCUGGGUCAGGGGGACUACAGGGACCACUCCCCUGGGGCAGUGGGGGCACAGCUUGGGGAGACCUGUCUUCUGUGGCACUAGAGGGACUGGUGGGGUGUCUGGGCGUCUGGAGGUAGAAGCCCCCAAGUGCUAAGCAAUCAGAUCUCCUAGGUAAACAGAACAUUCCAGUUCCAUUCUUGAGCCCUGGCCUUAGCAUCUGCUGGCCUGUGGAUUGAGCUAGUCACUUUGCCCCUGGGAGCUUCAGUUUCCUCAUCUGAAAAGUGGGAAAGCCAUGCCUGUCCGGCUAGCUUGAGGGGCAGUGGUGAGGCAUACAUUCGAAAAGGAACUUUUAGUGAAGUGAACUCCAGCUCACACAGCCCACGUGAGAGGCAGGGAUUGCCCUUAGGGUUCCUCACCGGGAAAUGGCAGAAAACAUGGAAGCCCCUUACCGCCCUCCUUGGCAGUGAGAGACAGCACUCUUACUAAUGUGGUGAGGAGCUGCCACUCACACCUUCUACUUUCGUGCAUGCUGUCCCCUCCCUCUACCCGGAAGGCCUUUUGUUUCCUUUUCUCCCUGUUAAAAUUCCUUCUCAGAUCUUUCAAACUCCAUUUCCAUGUUCUCAUCUCUGAAGUCUCUUUUCUCCCCCAGGCACCCUGCCUCACUCCCUUCAGUGGUGUGACCCCCCUCCGCUACAGUGUGACCUCAGCCUUUUGGACUGCUGCUUCCCUUUCAGUGCUUUGUCCCUCCGUCUUCCUCAUUGGACUGUGAAACAGCCUAAAAGUAAAGAUGGUGGCCUGGGGUUCAUUCACCUCUCCAUUCUGCCCCCACCCCCCCAGCGCCUCCCAACACGCCUGGUGCACAGCAGGCAGCUCGCUGUAGUGAGAAAACAUGGGCCACCAAGUCCUCCGACUAGACCGUCACUUCCAGUAAACUGACAUCACGUGUCCUGAUGUGCUGCGCUGAGAAAGACAGCGUCACCAUGUGGUUUUCCUGCCCAAAAUGUUCAACUGAAUCUCAUGAUGAGGAGGCAGUCAGGCAAAUGCACCUUAGAAAGUAUUCUACAAAAAAAUGAUCUGAACUUCUGAAAAAAAAUCAGUGUACUUAAGGACAAAAACGUCUGUUAAAGGACACUAAAAAGACAUGACAGCUAAAUUCAAUAUGUAUAGAUAAAUGGAUCCUGGAUUUAAAAAAAUAGCUCUAAUGAACAUUAUUGGGACAGUUGAGAGGAUUUGCACGUGGGCUGUGUGUUAAUCAGAAAGCAAUAUCGUGUCAAUGUUAAAUGCUUCUCAUUCUGUGGUUACGUGGACUGUCCUUGUUAUUAGGAGAGACUUACUACAGCUGUUAGAGGGGAGUGAUGGCACAUCGGCAACUUACUCUCAUUUCAGAAAAAAAUGUGUAUACCAAUCAUAUAUGUAAUGUAUGUGUUUAUGUAUAAACACACACACAUAUAUGCACAUAGAUAAAGCAAAUGUGGUUAAUGUUAAUAUUUGAAUCUAGAUGAAGGGUAUAUGGGUGUAUUCUUGCAAAUUUCGGUAAGUCUGAAAUUUUGCAAAUUAAAGAUGGGAAAAAAAAACCUCAUCAGUUUUGGCAUUGGACCUUGGACCCGGUGGGUUUAAACAUUAAUUAUAACCCUCCUCCCUCCCCCUGCGUCCACCACUUUUUUUUUUUUUUUCCUGCUUUUGGGCUUUGGGCAAGUUAUUUUCAUUGCCAAGAGUUUUCCCCAACUGUAAACAGGGUUAAUAAUACAGCCUUUCCCAAAGGGAUAUGAGGAUGGACAGUGGUGAAUGUUAGGGGCUGACAAUGCCUGGCACAGAGUGAGCUGUAGUUGUGAGGAUAUAUUUUGCUAAAAUAUGUUCACGUGAAGGGACACAGAGAUGGGAAGUUGUAAUGCUUCCACCUGAAAAGUGCUGGUGCAUUCGUAGAAACCCACAGCAUACCUCAUUCUCUUUAUUGGAAAGAACUGAGGUGCUUUGGGAUCGUCGUUAAUCCCAUUCCAGGGGCAAGAGUGGUGUCAGAGAAAUUGACUGGGGUGAGUUGUCAGAUAGGCUGGGGUGGAAGGUGAGCAGAAUGGGUAGAAGGGCCAGCCACGAUCUGAGGAGACAGGGAGGUGUGUGGCAGGAGUGAAAAAUUCUUGGGGACUUGGGGGUGGGAGGCAGUGGCUGUUGUCCCCUACCCCCAGGGUGGAUAAGCCACUAGUUACUUUACCUGCUCUGUCUGCCCCCGAACCCAGGGUGGACAUUGGAUGUGACAAGCCCAGGAUCCAGUGCUUACUGCUCACAAGGAAGAGGGCUUCCAGAGGGGAAGUCAAACCAGGAGCCAGCUUUGUAAUUGCCUUGAGAAUUUUAAUGGAAAGCUGAUUUUUCACAUU